rnacentral:lncRNA from 1 species
UCUCAAUCAUUUUCUAAACUGACAACCUGUAAAACUCUACUUUGGUAAAAAAAAAUAUUCAAAAUGGGAACUUCUUGACUCCUGCUGAGAUAUGACUGUGGUUUUCAGGAUGGAAGAUUGAAAUAUUAGCUUUUUCAAUUAGAAUAGCAAGUUAGGGUUAGCCUUCUAAAUGAUACAGUGAGAACUGACCUCCAAGAGCACGUUGAGAAUGACUAUGCUAAUAGGUUUCUCAAGUUAGAUGACAAAACAGUAAGACAGUGGGGUGACUGGACUCAUUACCUCCAUGAGUGUGGAGAAGGGCUACAUGGGAAAGGAUAUUUCAUUCUAAUACUAAUAAAGUAUCUCUGUUCUCCUUUCCUUCUUCCUCUAAACCUGGUUUUGCAAUGAUAGUGUUUGGUGACAUAACACAUCUAACAGAAAGUUAAUAGAGAAAGUUAAAUUGAUUAAAUAAAAAUUUUGCACUUAGGAAAGUUACUUGUUGGUAUGAGGAUAUCUUUAACUUCAAAUGCUAUGUUCAAUGUAAAUUUGUAUUAAAUCAUUCCUGCCUCAACAUGCUAAACAAAAUACUUCAAAGUACUUUGUAAAUACUUGGUAGUUAAUUUUUAUUUUUUUCAUUCACAUUCUUAUUCUUACUGCCAUAGUUUCUCCUUCCUUGAAACCACUUGUGCUGGGCACAGUGAAACACACUUGUAAUCCAGCAGCUCAGGAGGCUGAGGCAGGAGGAUCUCAAGUUCAAAGCCAG